rnacentral:tRNA from 1 species
AGACCCAGGAACGAAAAUUCUUCUCCAAAUUUGCAAUUUGGUUUUGCUGGGCC